UACGUAGGGUCCGAGCGUUGUCCGGAAUCAUUGGGCGUAAAGCGUGUGUAGGCGGUUUGUUAAGUCGGGUGUGAAAGCCCUGGGCUCAACCCAGGAAGUGCAUUCGAAACUGGCAAACUUGAGUACGGGAGAGGGUCGCGGAAUUCCCGGUGUAGAGGUGAAAUUCGUAGAUAUCGGGAGGAACACCAGUGGCGAAGGCGGCGACCUGGACCGAUACUGACGCUGAGACACGAAAGCGUGGGGAGCAAACAGG
rnacentral:rRNA from 1 species